CCCACGUGGGGCUCCAUGCUCAGCGGGAGUCUGCUUGGGACUCUCUCUUCCUUCCCCUCUGCCUCCCCCACUCGCUCUGGAAAUAAACAAAUAAAAUCUUUAAGAAUAACCAAAAACAUCGUCAAGGACACCUUCCUCCACUCCAGCCUCUCAUUUCCCGGCUUGUAGCUUGAACCGUGGCACCACCGUCAGAGGCUGCACCAUCUCCAGAAGUCUUCAAUGCAGUCACUACUUCUCUUUAACCAUUACCUUCGAAUCUUAACUCAUUUGCUCAAAAGACCCCCCAUCCCACCACAAUGCUUAACUUCAUUAUGAUACCCAAUCCCUCAUUCUUAACCGUUUAACCAAAUCCGUUUCUGACUUUAUCAGAGAGUUCAUGGUCCCGUCUUUGUAACAAUGUUUUAGAAAUUCCCUCUAUCCGUGCCUCAGUUUCCUCAUCCACAAAAUGGGAUAAUCGUACCUACUUCCUACAGUUUUCCUGAUAAUUAUAAAAGUUAAUGCCUGUGAAAGAACUUAGAGAAGUGCGGGCCCCAAAGUAAGUUCUCAAUAUGUUUUAUUUAUUUUGUUUUUAGGCAAAGGUUUUCCAGAAGUGAUAUUUCAUCCUAGGCCUGAAAGAGGAAAAGAAUUUAGUCAAGGUGUAGGACAGUGGGGGAAGAAUUUGCUUGGCAAAGGGAACAACUUGGGCAAACCCCAGGAAAAGGGGAAGAAAGAACAUGACAAUCAGCUGGUUAAGUUGAUCAUUAUAGUUGGUGCAAAAAUCUGGAGUGAAGAGGCUAAAAAGAAGAAGGUGGCAGAGGGGCCAUAUUAUAAGCCACAUUGGGCACGUCUAGUUUUUCCUCAAGUCAGAAGGGGAUUCACCUCAAUAGGGAGUUUGGGUGACUUCCAACAGGGGGCACUAUUCACAUUCACAUUUACAUGAAUGGUCCUCCACACAUGUCUCCCACUAUUUAUGCCCUUGGAGUUGUAGUAAAGCUGAAAUUCCUGAAAAGCUGCAGAUUUUAAAUUUAAAAGGAAGAUGUAUCCAUUUUUUAUUGAAGUUAGAUGAUAAUUUGUUAGUUUGGAAUGUGUACAUUGCUGAAGUUCAGUUCUAUCAUUUUUUGUUUGUUUUGACUUUCAUUUCUUUUUCUCUUUUCCACCGGAGAACUGGGUUUAUUGUGUGACCUCGCUGCUAUGCCUCGCACUCUGUAAUGAUAUUCAGGCAUCAGCUGGAGUUGAUGCUAACUGAUUCUCUAACUACCUGGGACAUUCAAGGAGUUGGCAUUUCAAGUAAAGGGAGUGCAGGAGAGAUGAGCACA